rnacentral:rRNA from 1 species
CCUACGGGAGGCAGCAGUGAGGAAUAUUGGUCAAUGGACGAGAGUCUGAACCAGCCAAGUAGCGUGAAGGAUGACUGCCCUAUGGGUUGUAAACUUCUUUUAUAAAGGAAUAAAACGAGGCACGUGUGCCUUUUUGCAUGUACUUUAUGAAUAAGGAUCGGCUAACUCCGUGCCAGCAGCCGCGGUAAUAAGGAGAAUCCGAGCGUUAUCCGGAUUUUUUGGGUUUAAAGGGAGCGUAGAUGGGUUGUUAAGUCAGUUGUGAAAGUAUGCGGCUCAACCGUAAAAUUGCAAUUGAUACUGGCAGUCUGGAGUACAGAUGAGGUAGGCGGAAUGCGUGGUGGAGCGGUGAAAUGCUUAGAUAUCACGAAGAACCCCGAUUGCGAAGGCAGCUUACGAAACUGUGACUGACAUUGAUGCUCGAAAGUGUGGGUAUCAAACAGGAUUAGAUACCCUUGUAGUC